UGCAUUUAUUUAUAAUGCGUUGGUUAUAUAUAUUUAUUUGGUAGCAAAAGGAACGUCAUCAUAUUAGUGGCGAAAAUUAAGAAUAUGCAAAGGUAUAAUAUGUGUACAAAAUACUUGCGUAUUUUAAAUAUGCAUUUAUUUAGUAUGCGUUAGUUAUAUAUAUUUAUUUGGUAGCAAAAGGAACGCCAUUAUAUUAGUGGCGAAAAUUAAGAAUAUGCAUAGUAUAUCUAUGUAUACAAAAUACUUGCAUAUUUUAUAUAUGCAUUUAUUUAUUAUGCGUUGGUUAUAUAUAUUUAUUUGGUAGCAAAAGGAACGCCAUUAUAUUAGUGGCGAAAAUCAAGAAUAUGCAUAGUAUAUCUAUGUGUACAAAAUACUUGCGUAUUUUAUAUAUGCAUUUAUUUAUUAUGCGUUGGUUAUAUAUAUUUAUUUGGUAGCAAAAGGAACGCCAUUAUAUUAGUGGCGAAAAUUAAGAAUAUGCAUAGUAUAUCUAUGUGUACAAAA